rnacentral:rRNA from 1 species
GCAAGUCGAGCGCGACCUUCGGGUUGAGCGGCGGACGGGUUAGUAACGCGUGGGAAUAUACCCAGUUCUAAGGAAUAGUCUCGGGAAACUGAGGGUAAUACCUUAUACGCCCUUCGGGGGAAAGAUUUAUCGGAAUUGGAUUAGCCCGCGUUAGAUUAGAUAGUUGGUGGGGUAAUGGCCUACCAAGGCGACGAUCCCUAGCUGGUCUGAGAGGAUGAUC